rnacentral:rRNA from 1 species
UACGUGAGGGGCAAGCGUUGCUCGGAAUUAUUGGGCGUAAAGGGCGCGUAGGCGGCUCGGCACGUCCGUUGUGAAAUCGCCCGGCUCAACUGGGCGGGGUCAGCGGAUACGGUCGAGCUUGAGCAAGCUAGGGGGCAAUGGAAUUCCCGGUGUAGUGGUGGAAUGCGUAGAUAUCGGGAGGAACACCAGUGGCGAAGGCGGUUGCCUGGGGCUUUGCUGACGCUGAUGCGCGAAAGCGUGGGGAGCGAGUCCGG